CAGCCUAAUCAAUAAGCUAGCCAAAAAAAACGACGCCAUCUCUGAGAAUCAUAGCAACAGCCAUCAAAACUCCGCUGCUAUUCAAUCCCGUCCUUCACUCGGCCAAACCAGAUUUCAUAAACAACUCAAUUCCUCCCUGCGACUCCCCUGCCAUAGAGAACAACCCAAUACUUCAAAGCCCUACUAAACCCCUGCAGUUUUAUUACCCCAAUUUCCCAUUUGGGUAUUGCUUAAACCCCUUUUCCAUGACUGGGUCUGAUCAAUUGAAAGCUAUUGGGGCUGAUUCUACUAGAAACGAUGCUGAUGAUGCGAGGAUCAUGUGGGCUGAUAGUGUGAAGAAGAAGAGGAAGAAGAAGAUGAAUAAACACAAGUACAAGAAGCUCAGGAAGCGUCUCCGACGAAAGGCAUAAUAGGCAUCUUGGUAAAAAUUCCAUGUCUUGCUGGUUCAUUGCCCUUGUUCCUUUCUAUAGUUUUUGAAUCAGAAUAUGAAUAUUCGCUUGGAGUACUAAUUUUUUUAUUAAAUUUUGAGAUAGAGCAUCAAAAAAAAAAAAAAAAAAAAAAAA
rnacentral:misc_RNA from 1 species